AUGAACGCUGGCGGCGUGCCUAAUACCUGCAAGUCGAGCGAACGGACGAGAAGCUUGCUUCUCUGAUGUUAGCGGCGGACGGGUGAGUAACACGUGGAUAACCUACCUAUAAGACUGGGAUAACUUCGGGAAACCGGAGCUAAUACCGGAUAAUAUUUUGAACCGCCUGGUUCAAAAGUGAAAGACGGUCUUGCUGUCACUUAUAGAUGGAUCCGCGCUGCAUUAGCUAGUUGGUAAGGUAACGGCUUACCAAGGCAACGAUGCAUAGCCGACCUGAGAGGGUGAUCGGCCACACUGGAACUGAGACACGGUCCAGACUCCUACGGGAGGCAGCAGUAGGGAAUCUUCCGCAAUUGGCGAAAGCCUGACGGAGCAACGCCGCGUGAGUGAUGAAGGUCUUCGGAUCGUAAAACUCUGUUAUUAGGGAAGAACAUAUGUGUAAGUAACUGUGCACAUCUUGACGGUACCUAAUCAGAAAGCCACGGCUAACUACGUG
rnacentral:rRNA from 1 species